CUUGUGGCACAGUUCUACUGGAGCCGGACGGUUCAUGUUGGCCAGCGUCACCUUUGACAUCCCAGACAGACCUCUGACCUUCAGCUCCAGCUGCAGCAGCUCACUGUUGUGUCUUUAGCUUAUAGUUGAUCUCCAGGUAAGUCUGUGCUUCCCUUCAGUUUAUAACCGUUUAAGGUCUUUUCCAGCUC